ACGGUACAUCAAAACUGUUAUUUACAAAGAAUGAUUAACAUCACAUAGAUUGGCCAACACAAUGAUGCACUUGGAAUAACAAUUUUCUCUUUAUACACUUAAAUGCACCAGGAUCCAUGUGAACUGAAAAGGGGGAAAGGGGGGCAAAAAAACAAAGACGCUAAUACACAGUUGGGGGAUCAAGGAGAAUGACAAUGAAGAGAAGAACACAUUGGUCUUUGAUGGAUCUUACAGAAACGCCACCAUAUUGUACAGAGCAAACGUACAUAUCCUUUCCAUUUGGUUCACUUGAUUUAAACUACCCUAUCUAUAAGUUCCAUCUUAUUGAGCAGUCUAGUUGGCACUUGGCCCAGUAUGAUUACACUUGAGAAAGAUGCUCAAUCUACCCACAGCUUUUAAAUGAAGAUUCAUCCAAAAUCUCUAUCAUUUCAGUGUUGGAGCAAAAGGAGCCGGACACGGAG
rnacentral:misc_RNA from 1 species